rnacentral:rRNA from 1 species
GACGAACGCUGGCGGCGUGCUUAACACAUGCAAGUCGAACGGAAAGGCCCUGCUUUUGUGGGGUGCUCGAGUGGCGAACGGGUGAGUAACACGUGAGUAACCUGCCCUUGACUUUGGGAUAACUUCAGGAAACUGGGGCUAAUACCGGAUAGGAGCUCCUGCUGCAUGGUGGGGGUUGGAAAGUUUCGGCGGUUGGGGAUGGACUCGCGGCUUAUCAGCUUGUUGGUGGGGUAGUGGCUUACCAAGGCUUUGACGGGUAGCCGGCCUGAGAGGGUGACCGGCCACAUUGGGACUGAGAGACGGCCCAGACUCCUACGGGAGGCAGAAGUGGGGAAUAUUGCACAAUGGGCGGAAGCCUGAUGCAGCAGCGCCGCGUGCGGGAUGACGGCCUUCGGGUUGUAAACCGCUUUCGCCUGUGACGAAGCGUGAGUGACGGUAAUGGGUAAAGAAGCACCGGCUAACUACGUG